UACGGAGGGGGCUAGCGUUGUUCGGAAUUACUGGGCGUAAAGCGCACGUAGGCGGCUUUGUAAGUUAGAGGUGAAAGCCCAGGGCUUAACCCUGGAAUUGCCUUUAAGACUGCAUCGCUAGAAUCGUGGAGAGGUAAGUGGAAUUCCGAGUGUAGAGGUGAAAUGCGUAGAGAUCCGGAGGAACACCAAAGGCGAAGGCAGUGUCCUGGGGAGUACCUGACGCUCAGGUGCGAAAGCCAGGGGAGCGAACGGG
rnacentral:rRNA from 1 species